AAAACUUUCAACAACGGAUCUCUUGGCUCUGGCAUCGAUGAAGAGCGCAGCGAAACGCGAUAAGUAAUGUGAAUUGCAGAAUCCAGUGAAUCAUCGAAUCUUUGAGCGCACAUUGCGCCCGCCAGCAUUCUGGCGGGCAUGCCUGUUCGAGCGUCAUUA
rnacentral:rRNA from 1 species